rnacentral:rRNA from 1 species
UACGUAGGGCGCAAGCGUUGUCCGGAAUUAUUGGGCGUAAAGAGCUCGUAGGCGGUUUGUCGCGUCUGUCGUGAAAGCUUGGGGCUUAACCCCAAGUCUGCGGUGGAUACGGGCAGACUAGAGGCAGGUAGGGGAGAACGGAAUUCCCGGUGUAGCGGUGAAAUGCGCAGAUAUCGGGAGGAACACCGGUGGCGAAGGCGGUUCUCUGGGCCUGUACUGACGCUCAGGGGCGAAAGCGUGGGGAGCAAACCGG